AGUCCCGCAAGGGAUAAGUAGAGUGGCAAACGGGUGAGUAACACGUGACUAACCUGCCUUCGAGUGGGGGAUAACCUCGGGAAACCGGGGCUAAUACCGCAUAACAUCCUCAGGGUGCAAUUCCCAGGGGACCAAAGGCGUAAGGCGCUUGAAGAGGGGGUCGCGGCUGAUUAGCUAGUUGGUGAGGUAAUGGCUCACCAAGGCGAAGAUCGGUAUCCGGCCUGAGAGGGCGCACGGCCACACUGGAACUGAAACACGGUCCAGACUCCUACGGGAGGCAGCAGUGGGGAAUUUUGCGCAAUGGGGGAAACCCUGACGCAGCAACGCCGCGUGGAGGAUGAAGCCCCUUGGG
rnacentral:rRNA from 1 species